UACGUAGGGUGCGAGCGUUGUCCGGAAUUAUUGGGCGUAAAGAGCUUGUAGGCGGUUUGUCGCGUCUGCCGUGAAAAUUCGAGGCUCAACCUCGAACUUGCGGUGGGUACGGGCAGACUAGAGUGUGGUAGGGGAGACUGGAAUUCCUGGUGUAGCGGUGAAAUGCGUAGAUAUCAGGAGGAACACCGGUGGCGAAGGCGGCUAUCUGGACCGGUUCUGACACUGAGGAGCGAAAGCGUGGGGAGCGAUCCGG
rnacentral:rRNA from 1 species